AUUGAACGCUGGCGGCAUGCCUUACACAUGCAAGUCGAACGGCAGCAUGAUCUAGCUUGCUAGAUUGAUGGCGAGUGGCGAACGGGUGAGUAAUACAUCGGAACGUGCCCUGUAGUGGGGGAUAACUAGUCGAAAGAGUAGCUAAUACCGCAUACGACCUGAGGGUGAAAGUGGGGGACCGCAAGGCCUCAUGCUAUAGGAGCGGCCGAUGUCUGAUUAGCUAGUUGGUGAGGUAAAGGCUCACCAAGGCGACGAUCAGUAGCUGGUCUGAGAGGACGAUCAGCCACACUGGGACUGAGACACGGCCCAGACUCCUACGGGAGGCAGCAGUGGGGAAUUUUGGACAAUGGGCGAAAGCCUGAUCCAGCAAUGCCGCGUGUGUGAAGAAGGCCUUCGGGUUGUAAAGCACUUUUGUCCGGAAAGAAAUGGCUCUGGUUAAUACCUGGGGUCGAUGACGGUACCGGAAGAAUAAGGACCGGCUAACUACGUG
rnacentral:rRNA from 1 species